rnacentral:rRNA from 1 species
CCUACGGGUGGCAGCAGUGAGGAAUAUUGGUCAAUGGACGGAAGUCUGAACCAGCCAUGCCGCGUGCAGGAAGACGGCUCUAUGAGUUGUAAACUGCUUUUGUACAAGGGUAAACCUGAAUACGUGUAUUCAGCUGAAAGUACUGUACGAAUAAGGAUCGGCUAACUCCGUGCCAGCAGCCGCGGUAAUACGGAGGAUCCAAGCGUUAUCCGGAUUUAUUGGGUUUAAAGGGUGCGUAGGCGGAUUGAUAAGUUAGAGGUGAAAUGUCCGGGCUUAACUCGUGAACUGCCUCUAAUACUGUAGAUCUAGAGAGUAGAUGCGGUAGGCGGAAUGUGUGGUGUAGCGGUGAAAUGCUUAGAUAUAACACAGAACACCGAUUGCGAAGGCAGCUUACCAAUCUAUAUCAGACGUUGAGGCACGAAAGCGUGGGGAGCGAACAGGAUUAGAUACCCUUGUAGUC